GAUGAACGCUAGCGGCAGGCCUAAUACAUGCAAGUCGAGGGGUAGAGCUAGCUUGCUAGCUUGAGACCGGCGCACGGGUGCGUAACGCGUAUGCAACCUACCCUUUUCUGGGGGAUAGCCCGGAGAAAUCCGGAUUAAUACCGCAUAAGACCACGAUACGGCAUCGUGAUGUGGUCAAACAUUUAUGGGAGAAGGAUGGGCAUGCGUGCCAUUAGCUAGUUGGCGGGGUAACGGCCCACCAAGGCGACGAUGGCUAGGGGAUCUGAGAGGAUGGCCCCCCACACUGGUACGGAGACACGGACCAGACUCCUACGGGAGGCAGCAGUAAGGAAUAUUGGUCAAUGGGGGCAACCCUGAACCAGCCAUGCCGCGUGCAGGACGACGGCCCUCCGGGUUGUAAACUGCUUUUGUACGGGAAUAAACCCCGCUACGUGUAGCGGGCUGAAUGUACCGUAAGAAUAAGGAUCGGCUAACUCCGUGCCAGCCGCCGCCGUAA
rnacentral:rRNA from 1 species